UGCGGUAGUUCAGUUGGUUAGAAUGUCGGCCUGUCACGCCGAAGGUCGCGAGUUCGAAUCUCGUCCGCAC
rnacentral:tRNA from 1 species